rnacentral:SRP_RNA from 1 species
GCCGGGCGUGGUGGCUCACGCCUGUAAUCCCAGCACUUUGGGAGGUCGAGGCAGGAGGAUCACUUGAGGUCAGGAGUUCCAGACAAGCCUGACCAACAUGGUGAGACCCCGUCUCUA